CACUCGCGCGUCCGCCGUCGCCGCGCACCUACGUCCGCGCGCCCGGUACGAGCCCGUUACGUAACGCCAUCCGUCCCCGACAUCUGUUGAGUCCACCCAGCUCGCGGCACGCUUCCACCGCUGACCAUACCGCGCGCACAGUCAUGCCGCCCGCCGCGAGCACCGCAACAGAUGCCGUCGCCAUGGCUACCGUAGAACAUCCCAACGGCAACACGUAACAUGCACACCGAACAUCGACUGCCAAUACAUUCCUGCCAAAUUAUAUAAGUUUAGUCUUAAGAGUAGAUAAUAUCGAUGCUUAUCGCUUGCGAUGUGCGAGGUACGCGCGCGAAGAUUGCUAACAUCACCGUCCAUCGCUUUGCGAUCGCUUCCGCCAUUUCGAGAACCUCUAACGUACGUUUGAAAAGUUCCGUACGUGUCAGAUCCGAGACGCGACGACGUCAUAUCGCCCGCCGGGUGCUCUGUCUCCAAGAUUCGCGACAACAUCAGUUCGUGGGUGCUGUGGUGGCGUCAACGCCAUCUUCGGAUGGGCGCACCGCAGACACCAAAACCUAUCGAGGAGGAUGAGUGCGUGCCGCGCGUGGCCGUGGUAGACGCGAUCCGCGAGGCUCAACAAGAGCGCAAGCUGGAGCGACGUCGGGCUGCCGGUGGGCCGAGGCGACGGGGCCUCGAAAACGAACUCGAGGGCGAGCGGAGGCGCCCACGACGUAAGCCCAGGAAAAGGUCACUGCCAAAGCUCUGCUCCCAGGAAGAAGAAACUGCCCGUCCACCCCAGGGUGGGGUGGUCACAUUCGAGCCAAUUCAACACGACCAUGACUUUUGCGAGAGAGUAGUCAUUAAUGUAAGCGGGCUCAAAUUUGAGACUCAAUUACGUACACUGAACCAAUUCCCGGAAACACUACUUGGCGAUCCGUCACGACGGAUCCGCUACUUCGAUCCUUUAAGGAACGAAUACUUUUUCGACAGAAACCGCCCAUCUUUUGACGCCAUCCUGUAUUACUAUCAGAGCGGGGGGCGCCUCCGGCGCCCCGUCAAUGUUCCCCUCGAUGUCUUUUCCGAGGAGAUCAAGUUCUACGAACUUGGCGAACAGGCCACCAACAAAUUCCGUGAAGAUGAGGGCUUCAUAAAGGAGGAGGAGAAGCCUCUGCCCUCCAAUGAGCGCCAGCGCAAAAUCUGGCUGCUCUUCGAAUACCCGGAGAGCUCCCAGGCUGCACGCGUGGUUGCCAUCAUCUCGGUGUUCGUCAUCCUCCUGUCCAUCGUGAUCUUUUGUCUUGAGACGCUGCCGGAGUUUAAGCACUACAAAGUGUUCAACACCACCACCAACGGCACUAAAAUCGAGGAGGAUGAAGUUCCCGACAUCACCGACCCGUUCUUCCUCAUCGAGACCCUCUGCAUCAUCUGGUUCACAUUCGAGUUGAUAGUGCGGUUUUUGGCCUGUCCGAACAAGUUUAAUUUCUUUAGGGACGUGAUGAACAUUAUAGAUAUAAUAGCCAUUAUACCGUAUUUCAUCACGCUCGCAACCGUUGUUGCCGAAGAAGAGGACACUCUAAAUCUACCCCGUGCUCCGGUCUCGCCACAAGACAAAUCCACCAAUCAGGCCAUGAGUCUAGCGAUCCUACGGGUGAUCCGGCUCGUCCGAGUCUUCCGUAUCUUCAAACUGUCGCGCCACUCCAAGGGUCUACAGAUCUUGGGACGCACACUCAAAGCGUCUAUGCGCGAGCUCGGCCUGUUGAUAUUUUUCCUGUUCAUCGGGGUGGUAGUGUUCUCCAGCGCCGUAUUCUUUGCGGAUAAAGAUUGCCUCGAUACAAAUUUUUCCUCAAUACCCGACGCCUUUUGGUGGGCGGUCAUAACGAUGACCACCGUCGGCUAUGGAGACAUGAGGCCGGUCGGCGUGUGGGGAAAGAUCGUGGGCUCGCUGUGCGCGAUCGCCGGCGUGCUCACCAUCGCGUUGCCGGUGCCCGUCAUCGUGUCCAACUUCAACUACUUCUAUCAUCGUGAGACUGAUCAAGAAGAAAUGCAGUCGCAGAACUUCAACCACGUCACCAGCUGCCCUUACCUGCCCGGGACUAUGGGGGAGCCGUAUUUAAUUUCAGGACCGAUCCAGAAGAAAUCGUCGAUGAGCGACGACUCAUCCUCGGAGAUGAUGGAGCUAGACGAGACUGCUCUGAUGGCAGACCCAAACCUGGAGCAAAAUCUGCGGCGGCUGCGCGAGGAAGAGCGCCUGCUACUAGAACAACAAGCGGCUAUGGAGGCCGGCGCUUUCGAUGACAUAGCCGCUCUGGAGCAUCAGGACGCUUUACGUCUCAACCAUCUGCAGCAGGCGGAGGUGCAGAAGCAGCAGGCGGCGCAGGCAGCGCAGGCGGCGCGGCUAGCGCUGCGUCACGAGGGUACCGCGCCCCGCCGAGAGCGCCGCCGCGCCACCUGUACCGUCCGCGUCAAUAACCUCCAUGCCGCAGACGCCAUCGAGACUGACGUCUGACUAUUAGGCCAAGAAACGGAAAGCGGUCUGCGGAGGCAGCCGUAAACACCUGAUAAGGCGAGCCGGCGCGACUGCGUGCACGCAGUGUGGCGUGGCCGCCUGCCGGCCCGCUCCCCGCCACCCUGUCACGUGUGACGUGCACUGUACAACCCCGCCGACCCCGCCCUAUCCCCCCCUGAUCUACUCGACGGCCACUACCACCCGAACACGCCACGGCCCCCGACCGCCCCACCAAAAACCGAUUUGUGAAUAUUAAAACCACUAGAUGCUUAACUUACAAGAUUCCAAGCGACCCGUUAGUUAGAGUAUAAUGAUAAAUUAGCAAACAAGUGUUUUCGAAUACUAUAUAAAAUAAAAAAAAAUAAAAAAAAACUUUUUAAAUAUAUGCUUGUACUGCGAGCGCAACCCGCCGCGGCCCUGGCUCAUUUUGUAAAUAUUGAUUAUCGAAACAGCUUGAUUACUGCUUCAGACACUUUCUACAUUUUCGACACACGUGUAAUAAUAAUUAGGAUUGGUUCUUCGAGACAAAUAAUAAUCGAAAAUAGGCCUAUAGAAGUUCUCGUUGCGUUUGCGGGGGACGUCGCUUGAAAGCUUGACAAUAGAUUGUAAAUAAUUAGUGCGGCGGGAGGCGCACGCGCCGCAUGCUACUCAAGCCGCCUUGCCGCCUGCGGCCGUAGACACUGCCCAGACGUGACACACACAGGUCCUUGGGCCAGCAACUCGCGAGUCUCGACAGUGCAGCGCUCCGCUCCCGAGCUGCCCGACCGAUGCCGGUACUGCGGCCGGCCAGCCUGCACGGCGCACGCGCACGUACAGCGCAGCGCGCAAGGCACGGCACCGCACAAGUCUUCGCGCGUAACUUCAAAUAGCUCAGAUUACAUAGUUAUUGAAUGUGACGCGUUAGCUGGUUUACGUCGUAUGAUGUGCAGUCUCGGUGAAGAUAUGGCAUUUAAAACUUCAUAGUGAAAAAGUGAAUCAAUCUCGUGCAAUAGUUUAUAAGUUAUUUACUUUGUAUGAUGUGCGUGGGACAUUAUUAAUAUGAUGUAAUCGUUCUGUAUACAGUACGUCCAAUGCCCCUCGACCUUACCUGUUCUCGUGGAACCGUGCAACAGUCUCGGCGACACAUCGCAUUGUCAAUAGUAGUUGUUUAGAUGAAAUUGUAACGGAUUUAGUAUGCACCCGAACGGGGUUUUAUAGAAUCGUCAUUAAUGUUAUUUUGAACUUAAUUAAUUUAUCGAUGUUGAUUGACUGUAAGGUAAAAUCAAGGAAUGGUUGUGACUACACACGGUGACGUCAAUCAAAAGCAGGUGUUCGGUGAUUGAUCUCCGACAAGUUGUGUAUUAAUUUUUUGCAAUUAUCUCGUAAUGAGAAAUUUUUCCAUCUUUGAUUACUUUUAAAAUCUACAAAAGGUAAUCAUUACUAUUCUUAAUACCGAUGGCGACAAUAAUAUAUACAAGUGUGUUGGAUAGGAAAGUUUCCGUGUGUACGUAAAUAAGAUUACGCGUGUCUGCUGUAUGGAAAAUUAUAUUUUCGGCUAUUGCGAAUUAUUUAGCUUAAAAUUUUAUCAUUUAAACAUAUCUAGUAAGAAUUAAUCGAUGAUUGUGUAUGAGGCCGGUGACUAGCGUCACUUGCAUCUCUAUUAAUGUUCAACAUAAACAAGUUAUAGCUCAAAAACCUUGAAUAGAUAACUAUACUUAAAACUCUCACGGUUUUGCUUCGACACUGAUAAACAAUUUUAAGAUAGAAUUUCAGUAAUAAAGUCAAAAUAAUUAUAAUUAAAAUGCUAAUAUCUAAUAUACAAAAGUAGAACAUGCAUUAAGCCGGUCACCGUGGCCAGUUAUUCGUAACUUUGUUGUGUAAAUUUGAUUUGUUACGUAUAUAUUAGAUGUAGAUAUUACAUCCGAUACCUAAUGACUUCAUAUCAUUACAAAACAUGUCAUAGCGUUUAAUACAUCUAGGUGAAAAGACAUUAAUUAUAUUUAUGCCCUACGUAAUUAAUGUAGUGUAGUUUGUAAUUAUACUAUUCGUAGCGUUUAAGUCUAGCCCUUUUACUGGGCAUUUUCCUUUAUAGCUAAUUUAACCUCUUAAUUUCGCACGAAAAAAUAAAGAGGCAUAUCUUAUUUUAAUUUACUCUCCGGUCUUUAAAAACCAUUCAUCUCAUGUAAAAUAGUUCAAUGUUGGUUUGCCUCUUACAACAUACCUUGCAUAAGGGUUCUAUUAUUUAAUUAAAAUUAUUUGACUUCUAAUCUUACAGUAAGAAUUGUGAUUUCCAAUCUCAGCAUUCCUCAUAAUCUGAUAAAUCCGUCAGUGUAUAUAAAUAUAUGGUUAUGUACAUAAUAACAGGAUAUUGCUUUGCGUUGAAAUGUCCGUUAGUGUUAAUGUUAAUAGUUUACUAUAGCUUUUUUAAUAAAUACAAAAAAGUAUAUUAUCACGGUGACUAUUUCAAUAAUAAACAUUUCGCAAUAGCAAAUUAAUUUCGAUUAAUCAAAACAAUAUUCCGGUUUACAUACCCAGUAUGAUCUCAAUAACUAUGGUAUUAUUUUGUCAAUAACAUUAAAAGAUUACAUAUUCGCCACAUAGACUGGUAUUCACGAAACGGUCACUGUAUAAAAAAAACGCACCCGUAUGUAAUUUUUAGCAAAUGUCCCUCACUGUAAGACUUAUGUUAUUUAAUUGAGUAUUUGAGCGAAUAGGGCCAUCAUAAAGACGUACAUACACGAACACAAUUCAAGCCCGUCCCAAGCAAUUCGUUCGUUCGUACAUUUGUUUAGUACGCAAGUUACUGACGAAAAUAUGCAAAGGUUUACUUAUAAUUUCUUAAAAAAUCAGGUCUAUUUGAAACUUCAAACUACCAAUAUUUUCUAAUUCAAUUGUCUACCUAAUGUUGGUUUGAAAUAAAAUGUAUACUUUCGGAGGAGAUGUACGGAAUCAACAAUUUUAUUCGCAUUUUCGUUAUAAAAUUAUAGAAAAAAAUAUAUUUUUUAAACAAAGUAAGGAACAUAUUGUAGAAAUAUGAUGAUAUAUUUUUUUCUUUUUGUAAGUAUUAUAAAUUUCGAAUAACUUAUAAAAUGCGAUAAGCGCUCCGCUUUGCUGAGGAUAGCGCCUCAACCAAAUACCUACACGGCCAACGCGAGUACCAACUGCAAUCCCUAGGGUGGCGCACUGGCGUUAGAUGUUGUCUUUAUGUAGCUGCCAAGGUGGUCUAUGCUGAUUCUUACUUGUAACGUAAUAUUUACUAGUGUUUUUCAAAAAGUCUAACGAAUAUAUCAAUGGAAUCGGUCAAUUAGUUUAGAUUUAGAAUUAUUUGCCAAGUUGUUUAAAUCUUAAAUGUUUCUUGAUGUGUCGCCUAAAAUGAGAUAAUGAGGAAAAUGAUGUAAUUAAAACAAUGAAUACUUAAAGUUAAACAUAGCUGUGGAAUAAUCUGAAUAGAACGUAAUCACUGCUCAAUAUGUAAAAAAUAUCACAUAUUUAUGUAGUUAUUUAAUUUGUCACUAUAACGAUGGUAAAAUUAUAAUCGAUGUUAUGUUAAUUGUACAGCAUCUAGUAGAUCGUGUGUCGUUACAUUUUAUGUGAUCAUAGCGAGACAGUGGCCGAGGCUGUUGCUGGAAUAUAUUAAGUGUCAAUGUUAUAUAUUAAAGCAAACAAAGAAAGUGUUAGUUUGACGAUAUGGUUAAGCACGCGGGUCCUGUUGGAUGGUUUUAUGGUAUGACUACAUUUCGAUAGUACAGUGCAAAACAUAGUUAUGGCAAAACGGACCUAGGUAUGUUAAUUUAGUGAAACAAUGAACACUCUUUGACAGUUUCUUGAAACAGUUAAGACAGUUGAAAAGUAAAAUGGACAGUGUCAGGACUUGAGCAGCCGAAGACAUAAGUAUAAAUGUGGACUGUAUCCUAAAAAGUCAAGACUUUCUUAUUAAUCCAGUAGUCAUGUUGUAAGUUGUGUGUAUUGUACUAUCGGAAAAUUCAAUGCAUUUGUAGGGUAUAUGACGAAGACGUUGGCAUUUCAUGUAAUAUAUUAUGUCUGUCGCUAAAACAAAACAGAAAAUAGCAAAAAAAUGUAUUUUCAUUGUUUUUUCUACACGACUUACAUUAAUUUUCUUAGAUUUUAAUUUAUUCUUAUAUUCUUUUAUAACGUUUUUGUAUGAUAUAUUAUGUAAUUAUUUUAUUUUAUUGAAAUCACCAGUUUCUAGUCAUGUUAAUAUUCUAUUAGUAUAACACCAUGUAGGAAGAUAUAGACAAUGGUCAUACAAUAGCACAGCGUGGACUGAGGUCGGUUAAAUUUAACGUAAAUAUUUUUUAUCAGAUACUGUUUGGGAACAGAACGUUUCUACCUAAUUAUUUGAUUUAAGUAGGACUGCCGCCUGCUGCUCCCAUGCUAUUGUAUUUCCAGUCCACAAACUCUGUGUCUGUUAUACUUAUAGAUUAUAAAUAAAA